GGGGAAGUAGAUCAGCUGGUCAGAUCGUCACGUUGACAUCGUGAAGGUCGGCGGUUCGAGUCCGCCCUUCCCCACCA
rnacentral:tRNA from 1 species